CCAAUAGCGUAUAUUAAAGUUGUUGCAGUUAAAAAGCUCGUAGUUGAAUUUUGGAUUCUACCAAUUGGUCCAUCUUUUAGAUGAGUACUGGUUGUGUGGGGUCUAUCCGCCUGGUGAUACGUAAUGUCCUUUAUUGGAUGUUGCGGGUAGUCAGGACCUUUACCUUGAAAAAAUUAGAGUGUUUAAAGCAGGCUUAUGCCGGAAUACAUUAGCAUGGAAUAAUAGAAUAGGACGAAGUUGUUUUAUUUUGUUGGUUUCUAGGACAACCGUAAUGAUUAAUAGGGAUAGUUGUGGGCAUUAGUAUUCAAUUGUCAGAGGUGAAAUUCUUGGAUUUAUUGAAGACUAACUACUGCGAAAGCAUUUGCCAAGGAUGUUUUCAUUAAUCAAGAACGAAAGUUAGGGGAUCGAAGACGAUCAGAUACCGUCGUAGUCUUAACCAUAAACUAUGCCGACUAGGGAUCGGGCGAUGUUGUUUCCAUGACUCGCUCGGCACCUUAUG
rnacentral:rRNA from 1 species